UGCAAGAGCAGGUUGGGCUCCAUGCUGGGGAAAGAGCUGCAGAAGUGCUGGUGGGUACAUAGCGAUUGCCUCAGUUUGGAGGAUUGCUUCCAUUCUGGAAUGCAAGCUGAGAAAAGGGAUUUCAGCUCCAGUUCUCCUCAGCAUCAUGGCAGAGGCUGGAAGGAACCUCUGGCAGUCAUCUGGUCCCACCCAUCCCUGCUCGAGCUGGACCACCAUGAGCUGUAUACCCAGGACCACGCUCAGAAGUUUGAGUACCUCCAACGUAGAAUCCACAGCCUCUCUAGGCAACCUGUGCCAGUGCUGCAAUCAGCUUGACGUUAAGUGUUCCCUGCUGUUCAGAGGGAGCUUCCUGUGCUUCACUGUGCCCACUGCUCCAGUGCCGUCACUGGGCACCACUGGAAAGAGCCUGGCUCCAUCCUUUUUGCACUGCCCGUGGGGAGUUUAUUUACCCAGAAGAGAUCCUGCCUGAGCCUUCCCUUCUCUGCGUUGUCCUUCCAGGAAAUACCAGGGUGGUUGAAGUCCCCCAUGAGGACAAGGGCCUGAGACUCAAAAUCUGAGUUUAGACACAGGUAUAGAUAAUGUCUUUCAGACUGUGUGGAACAGGUAUACAUCCCCCUGGUGUUCUUGUCAACUGUAGCUCUUCCAGAAGUGAGCACAAUGAGGACUCCAGGAAGAAUGCCUGCCACUCCUCUAUUUCUUGCUGUAGCUCCUUUUACUUCCAACAUGCUGUUUCUCUGGUGCUUUCUAAUCCUGCUUAUUUGUUCUACUUUUCCACUGUGCAGGAGGGAUGAGAAGAACCAGAAUUCCAUCACCAUCUUCUCAUUUUGCAUAACACUUCAAUACCUUUGCCCAUCAAACUGCUUUUCAUCCUGUGAAUACCUCAAGAGGUGAUAUUUGGGGUUUGUUUGUUAGGAAGCUUGGUGCAUAACUGCAGUCAUAUCCCCCCUGAGUAAGGAAAGAAAAUGCAGAGGGCUGUGAGUGAAAUAUUUUCUAGAGAAAUCUGAAGGGCAGUACAAGGCAGGACCAGGGUAAUCUUGUACUAUACAGGCGCUCCCCUUCUAGAUACUUCUUUCCUUGGAAAGGCAAAUUUGCCAGUGUGCCAUCUCCAGUAGAACUGAGCUCCUGCGCUGCACGACUGAAGGUUGCCAACUCCAACUCUGUUGCAAGCUCUGUGUUGACAGCUACUGGCAGUUCCUUAGGAUGGAAAAUCACGUGGCAAACUGUAAUUGAGUUGAGGCAUUUCCUCCCUCCUAGUCUCUCUUCAUACUCUCAGAAGCACACUUAUCAUGUCCCAAUGAAUGUGAAAGUGCCUUAACGUCCAGCAACAAACCCAGGUAGAGCAUUUACUCCAUGGAUUGAAGUUUUACAUGUCCAUUUGGCCAGAAACGUUUUGUUUGCUGCCUUAUCCCCUAACUGAUUGAAGUCGUUUGGGUAAAGCAUGAACUCUACCAGUACAAAGUUAAGCAAUUUAUAGUUAAGUAUUAUGUGUUUUUUUUCUAUUCAACUAUUCCUGACUUUAGGAAGUAAAUCCCACCUAAAUGAGUAAUUUAAUUCCUCUGAACCUUUUUUCCAUAAUAAUAAUAGUGCAGCAUCUGAAUUACAGGGUAGUGUCUCUUAGCAAUG